UACGAGGGGUGCAAGUGUUAUUCAGAAUCAUUGGGCGUAAAAUGCAUGUAGGUUGUUGAUCAAGUUCAAAUACAAAUGUUUCAAGUAACUGAUACGACGUUUGAAAACUAAUUAACUAGAGUCACUUAAAGAGUAAUGGAAUUACUAGAGGAGAGGUUAAAUUCAUAGAUCCUAGUAUGAACGUCAAUGGCUAAGGCAAUUAUUUAGGAGAUGACUGACGCUGAUAUGCGAAAGCGUGGGAAGCAAACAGG
rnacentral:rRNA from 1 species